GUCAAACUUUGUCAGAGCUUAAUUCCAUAAUCAAGUAAAUACAAAUAUUGUUAUGUCAAUAAUAAUUCAUUUCAUCAAUAUUUUUUGUAUUUAAAACAAGUUUUACUCAUAAAAUUUAACUUUUAACAAUCCGGAUUUGAGAAAUAAAACCCUGAGUAAACAACGUCUUUAAUGUAAUAUGUAAGUCUUUGAUUAAUAAAACAUAUUACUAAUUAAAAAUACAAAGGUCUGGCCAAACACAAUAUUUGGUAUAUAUUUAGGUUUUUAUUUCACAUUUAAAUAUUUAAAUAUUUCAUUUGGGUGCGAAAAACUCGCAAAAAAUAUUAGAAAUAUAUGUUUUUUCGUGCAUAUUUUUUUAAAUUAAUUUUUGUUAUUGAAUUAAUAAUACAUAGUAUAGAAAUAAUGAUUUAUAUAUAAUAUUAAUAGUGAAUAUAUGAAAGAGUAAAGAUAUACAGCAAA
rnacentral:sRNA from 1 species